CAUUGAAAUGCCUUUGCUGCUGCUGCUACGCAUAGGCUCAUUCCCAGUCAGUGCUUGAGGAGGGCACAUCUUACAGGGCUCUACUGUGGAGUCUGAUCUGCAAAUGGUGCUAAAAAUCCCUCUGCGCAGAUCUGUCAGCCUCAGCCCUGAGCAUCACUCCUCUGCAGCUCCAGCAGAGAUGACUGGACCCACCACACUGAAAAUGGAAGCAAAUAUCCUGGUCCUUGGUGCAGAGGGAGUGGGGAAAUCAGCACUAACUGUAAGGUUUUUGACAAGACGCUUCAUUGGAGAGUAUGGGGAGCUUGAAUCAAUAUAUAGUCACAGUGUCUGUGUGGAUGGGAAGGAAGUGAUAUUUAAUAUCUGGGAUUUUCCAUAUUCAAAGGAUCCAACUGAGGAGAGCUGUGCUGAGGAAGAAAAGCGUAUGCAGUGGGCUGAUGGCUAUGUCCUUGUGUAUAGUAUAUGUGACAGAGCCAGUUUCAAUGUCAUCUGCCAAACAAUCCAGCUUAUUAAAGCAGCAAAAGACUGUCUAGGAACAGAGAAACUUCCCAUUGUAAUUGUGGGAAACAAACGGGAUCUCCAUCACCUACGUGUUGUGUCUAGUGAAGAGGGCAGGCUUUUAGCUCUGUCUAUGGACUGUGACUUUUAUGAAGUUUCAGCAGCUGAAGCAUACCAUGGUGUUCUUAUGGUUUUUCAUGGGUUAGUGGACAAGAUUCGUGAAUCCAAGCUGGUUAUAAAGAAGGGUAUGGGAAUACGUGGCAUUGUAAAGAGCAUGUCUGCAGUGUUCGCGAGAAGAAGAACAGAUUCUCUGUGAUGCCUCUUACACAUGGCUUGUAGAUUCACAUGAUUUCAAAUCCUGUGGUGCAGGUGCCUUUAUUAACAAGACUAUGCCUAUAUAUAUUGCAUUUGAGUCAUUGAUUGUUCUAACAGUAUUUAUAGGGCUAUUGUGUUGAAUAUAAUCAGCUUGAUAUUCAGUGGAUGUUUACUGUAGAACAACAGCUGUCACUGUGAGAUAAGCUAAUGUACCGCAUCAAAGCAAUCACAGAUUCACAAUGUUUCUGCAUCAAGGACCACUUUGCAACAUUCAUCAUUAUAUUUUGUGUCUACUCGUUGAUGGGAAAAACAGUCACUUUAAUGAUCCCCUGUUGCAAGAUCAGAAUUUCCACUAGGUACAACGGAUAUUUGUUUAAACAGGGAGUCAACCUGCCAGCAAGACCCUAUUGUUUUAUGAAGGAAUUUGCACUACAUCUGAUUUUGGCAUUGGAUGGGACAUGUUUUCUGUUUUGUUCAUCCAAUGCUAUCUCCAGAGAUUUGCUACAGUGGUUUUGCAGACUCGUCUUGGAGAAUUCCACUGUUCAAUCAUCGCAUUCAUUCUGGGAUAAUGCUUCCAGUUCCAUGUCAUGCAAAAGGCAUUACUACAGAGCUUGGAACUGUUCUGCAUUCCACGAUUGUGUGGACUCUGCAACUUUGUUCUCUCCAACAUAGACAUCACUGUUAUAGAUUAGAUUUUGAACUGUGUUGUGCUUUUUCAGAUAAUACAUUGUUAUAUGAAUGUAAAAGAAUGAUGGAGGGCAUCACUGAAAAUCAUCUAUGGGUAACACCACAGAGAACUUGCUUUUGCAGGUCAUUAUCAUCAUUUUGGGAUUGGACAAAAAAAUUGUGGUCUACAAUCAUUGUAAAUUAUACACACAUUUCUGUAAACUCUGUAAAUAAUGUAUGUUGUUUUAUGUUUGGAACAAAGUGAAAUCUUCAUGUUUAAUUAUACAAAAUCUUGCGUGUAAUGAACUUGAGAUGUGUGCUGUAAGUAUCUGUUGCAAAUAUAUAAAUGUACACAUCAUUAUAGAUUACUAGUUACUAGUGGGAGGCUAGUUCAGGAAGUGUACUUUAAAAAAGGAAUGUUGGAUUGGUAGAGUUGUGUGCAACUUAAAUGCUUUCCCUUACAAGCCUUUGGGGUAGGUUAUGAUGUUAACCUGCUAGGUUAAUGACCUCACCAAACCAGAGGUUCUUAAAGGAGAAGGAAAUCUACCGAAGCAGUUUAUUUUACCACUUCAGUAAA